rnacentral:miRNA from 1 species
UAGGUAGUUUAAAGUUGUGGAG